ACUUUUGUUGAUCUCUCACUGUAGAGACAUGUUUAAUGAUUUCGAUUUGAACUCCAACGGUUGCAAAACAUAAAUACAGUAUAUGGACAUAGACAAUAAAAUCACGUAUUAUAUAGAACCUUCGACGUGAGCGUCCUCUUCCAAGAGUGGGCGUAUCCCGUAUUCACCUAUCUCCCAGUCGUCAUUUAAGUUGAAUUCGAACUCAAACAAAAGCUCUAUGGAUUCCACACCUCUUGCUUCA